GGGGGUGUAGCUCAGUUGGUUAGAGCGCAUGCCUGUCACGCAUGAGGUCGUGAGUUCAAGUCUCAUCACUCCCGUCA
rnacentral:tRNA from 3 species